CCUUGAGAUGCUAAAAUAGCAUUAACCUUUUAAGUUAAAGACUGAGAGUAUUAUAAACCUCUCCUCAAUGAA
rnacentral:tRNA from 1 species